rnacentral:rRNA from 1 species
AUCGAUAAUCCCCGUUAANUUUUACUUUAAUUAAAUAAUUUACAUAUCGCCAUCUUAAGAUUUUAUUAAAAAAUAUUCUCCAAAAAAAUCAUAAAAAGUUAGGUCAAUAUAUAAUCUACAUUAAAGAAUGAGAUGAAUUACUUUGAAUAAAAUUCAAAGAAGACAUAUAAAAUACAUGUCCAAAUAAGGAUUUAAAAGUAUUAUUGAAAAAUAAUAAUCCAAUAAGACAAAGAUAAUAAAUGUGCACACAUCGCCC